AGUGAACGCUGGCGGCGUGCUUAACACAUGCAAGUCGAACGAGAACGGGUUAUAACUUGUUAUAACUGUCAGCUAAGUGGCGCACGGGUGAGUAAUGUAUAGGUAAUAUGCCUCUUACUAGGGAUAACAAAUGGAAACGUUUGCUAAUACCUUAUACUCCUUAUUAACAGAAGUUAAUAAGGGAAAGAUUUAUUGGUAAGAGAUUAGCCUGUAUUGUAUCAGUUAGUUGGUGGGGUAAUGGCUUACCAAGACUAUGACACAUAACUGGUUUGAGAGGAUGGUCAGUCACACUGGAACUGAGACACGGUCCAGACUCCUACGGGAGGCAGCAGUGGGGAAUAUUGCACAAUGGACGGAAGUCUGAUGCAGCAACGCCGCGUGGAGGAUGACACAUUUCGGUGCGUAAACUCCUUUUAUAUGAGAAGAUAAUGACGGUAUUAUAUGAAUAAGCACCUGCUAACUCCGUGCCAGCAGCCGCCGUAAGAC
rnacentral:rRNA from 1 species